AUAUAAGUAGACGCCCUAUUGGCCGCUGGGCGACGAGAUUUGCGGCCGCCAUCUUGAACCGGUCGUACUCCUAGUUUCGUUGCGUAGCAGCAGUUAAGAUGCCAGAGCACUGUGCAGCAUUUUCCUGUUCUAAUCGGCGGAGCAUCGCAAGUACGGCUCGGGAUUACUUUUCACAAGUGCUGAGAGCUGCAGAGAGGGUGAUCCGCCAAGCUUCAGCAAUACAAGCUCCUCAGGUGUCAACAGUCACAGAAGAGAGAGUGUGUGUGUGUGUGUGUGUGUGUGAGAGAGAGAGAGAGAGAGAGAACCAGUGUAUAUGUCACAAAUUAUAAUAAAUUGUUUCUUCAACUUAUUAAAUAUCUUAUUUUACUGCAA